GCAAGUCGAGGGGCAGCACAGGUAGCAAUACUUGGUGGCGACCGGCGCACGGGUGAGUAACGCGUAUGCAACCUACCUUAUACAGGGGGAUAGCUCUCGGAAACGAGGAUUAAUACCCCAUACAAUUAAUGAAUGGCAUCGUUUGUUAAUUAAAGCUACGGCGGUAUAAGAUGGGCAUGCGUGCCAUUAGAUAGUUGGUAAGGUAACGGCUUACCAAGUCUACGAUGGCUAGGGGUUCUGCAAGGAAGGUC
rnacentral:rRNA from 1 species